rnacentral:rRNA from 1 species
GCCGUUCUUAGUUCGUGGAGUGAUCUGUCUGCUUAAUUGCGUUUCACUACGAUUUAAAAUAUUAUGUUUGUUUGUUUGCUGUUCAGUGUUUCGGCACUUUGAACGCACAACACAUAAUUCCAAACAAUCGGAAAGCAACGAACGUGACCGCAACCUCUUGUUGCCUUUAUUUUUAAAGUAUAAUAUUUUUUCUCUUUCGGGAGAAAUAUUUAUUGUAUUGAAAAAGGCUUUAAAACUAGAGGGACCGCUGUUCUUAUUUCUAAAACCAGAGGAAGAUUGCGGCAAUAACAGGUCUGUGAUGCCCUCAGAUGUUCCGGGCUGCACACGUGCUACAAUGAUUGUUGCAGUGAGCAUCUAUUUUCAAACGCUACCGUGGUGGAUUGUUAUUUAUGUUUUUUGAUUUCUUCGGAAUGAAAAGAAACUAUUUAAUUUAUUCCACAUUACGUGUCAGCUAAACCUGGUUCGAAAGUAACUAGGUAAUCAAUUGGAAGUAACGAUUUCCUUUUAUAGGAAAGCACAAUUUAUGGUCUUUUUGUUACUGCAGGCUAUUUACUUCGGUUUAUAGUUCUCGUCGGUUAACAUAAGAUAUCUGUGCUACAACCAUUUAAUUUCAAGGUGGGGACAGACCAUUGUUAAUUGUUGGUCUCGUUUUAACUAG